GAAAAGAAUAAUUGGCUUAAAUGCACCACAUGUGUUUUUUAUUGAACAAAUUUCUUUGGUGGCGGGAGCAAUCCUACCGCCAGAGGUUAUAACUAAACCAAACUUUUUAUUUACAGUCAAACUUGAUUUAUUAUUACAAUAGUCAAAACUUUCAACAACGGAUCUCUUGGUUCUCGCAUCGAUGAAGAACGCAGCGAAAUGCGAUACGUAAUAUGAAUUGCAGAUAUUCGUGAAUCAUCGAAUCUUUGAACGCACAUUGCGCCCUUUGGUAUUCCAAAGGGCAUGCCUGUUUGAGCGUCAUUUCUCCCUCAAACCCCCGGGUUUGGUGUUGAGCAAUACGCUAGGUUUGUUUGAAAGAAUUUACGUGGAAACUUAUUUUAAGCGACUUAGGUUUAUCCAAAACGCUUAUUUUGCUAGUGGCCACCACAAUUUAUUUCAUAACUUUGACCUCAAAUCAGGUAGGACUACCCGCUGAACUUAAGCAUAUCAAUAAGCGGAGGAAAA
rnacentral:rRNA from 1 species